GUCUGUGGCCAUACCACCCUGAAUGUGCCCGAUCUAGUCUAAUCUCAGAAGCUAAGGAGGGCUGGGCCUGGUUAGUAGUCAGAUGGGAAAAAUCCACCUGGGUCGCUUGCUUACAGCUCUUGGUGCCCUGCCU
rnacentral:rRNA from 1 species